rnacentral:lncRNA from 1 species
CCCAUACGUUUUUUUAUUGGUCAACAAGAUUUAUUUAUAUAAAACAUGAAGUUUACUGAGGCAGAACUUGUGGUAUCUCAACUACAGUCAUAGAGGUCCUAGUAAGAGCACUAUGUUGUACAACCUGAGCAUUUGUUCUAGGACUAAUAUAAUGCAUAUUUGGGUGAGAGAGAGAGGCUACUUCACCCAACUAACGGUUGGUAAUCUGCUCUUGUCCACACACAAAAUAUCACAAAGUGAUGGUGGAGAUUCACAAGAUAGUACAAUAGUAGAGAUUGUAGUAGUUAAAUUCCAGCAUUCCUAGCUAUUUCUCCGCUAACUCAUUCUUCUCUCUAUAAACAUGGUGUAUCUUAGGAUCACCCAAAGCAUGGAGGAGGCACCUACAAUCAGAUGUAACAUUUGAGUUAUAACCUAUUUUAGUAAUUAACAAAUGGAUUAGCUGUUGUGAGUCUGUGCUAAUUUUAAGAGGAAAGAUAUUAUGUUGAUAUGCCAACUGGAGACCUAACAUGAGGGCAUGAGCAUCGCCCUCCAAAAGGUCUGGAGAGAUAUAUGAUCCCUGAAACCCCAAGAGCCAAUCUCCUGAAUUAUUCCUAAAGACUCCCCCAAGCAUAGUGGUCAGAUGAGUGGGCAUGACUUGCACAGUCGGUGUUUAAUAUGAUAUUAGUUACUUCAGGAGGUUUCCUCUCAAUUUACACUGGUAUAGUGGAUCUUUCAUUCUUCGUGGGUCCAUCCAAAAACCAAAACUCACUUACAAGGUGAGAGAUGUAAUUCAAAGAAGGCAUAAAAUAAGUUUUAUAAAAAAUGAACUUAUUUCAUACAACCAAUAGAGACCAAAGACAAAACAAAAGGAAUACCUUGGGGGGGUAAGCGUGAUGGUGCCAAUAAGGGUGGUAGGUUAAAGCCUAACAAAUCUAUACAACUAAUUUGAAGGUUUUAGAAAAGGAUAUGCUAAGAGUGUGCCUCACUUUUGAUUCUGAGUUGCUCCUAAAGGGGACUUACUUUGGGGCAAAACAUGAAAAAUGAGCAUUCAUUUCCUUGUGUGAGGAAUUCCAAAAUCUAUAUACUGGUGAGUCAAUAACGUUUCUAUGAUGGAGGUAUAUGGAGGCUGGUGUUCUUUCAUGGUUAAGAAACCAAAGGAAGUGCUUGAUCUUGGGUGGGAUGGGAAGCUACCAUAUCCAACCGAAGUUAGCACUUUAUUGGGUUUGAGCAAGAGUGAUAAUGGAGAAGAUAUUCAAAGAGGCAAGGGCCAAGGGCCAAGGCAUAAGAUUUUACAGUGAAAAGGCCCGUAUGGUUAACCCCAAGUAAUAUGGUCAAAAUAGCGUGUGAACUUGGGGAGGUAAACUCCUUUAAUUUGGGAUAUAAUAGGAGGAGGAAGGUCGAAGGAAAGAUGCAAAAAGUCCCAUGUUCCAGAGGCUAUGAACUUUGCCAUACUGUCCCUAUUUUCUUGGUGAAGAAGAGGUCCUUGAAUGAGGGAAUGAAUAGUGGAAUUUGGGUUGAUCUAAGAGUCAUUAAAGAAGUUAAUGAAUCCACUUGUAGCAGGUUGCCAACGAAGACCCACUUGGCAGACUUUCCAACCUUGUUGAAGAGAUCUCCAAGUUCUUGAAGCAGCAGCAGCCAAGGCAGUAGCAUUAUUUAUGCCUCGAAUGUACUUAUUUUAAGUGCACCAGCCCAAAGAGAGUUGUUCGCGUGAAAGCAUCACCAAGAAGCAGAUACUAGUAACGUUUUGUUUUUAGUAGCCAAGUCUUAGAUUCCCAACCCUCCAUCAUUUUUUGGUUUUGUAAUUUUCGGCCAUUUAAGAUGUAAUUUUCUAUGAGUUGGCGUAGAUCCCGAACUUCAUGUCAUUCAAGGUCUUUUAUGACAUAGGUAGGUAAUUUUAUAAGCUGCAUGAUGGGGUUUGAAAGGCUGUUAAGAGUAGACUGUAUAAGCAUAGCUUUCCUAUCUAUUGAGUGAAAUUUUCAUUUCUAACCCACUAAGCGUGCUUUGAAGGUGUCAAGGAGGAACUUAUAAUCAAAUUUGAUUAGCUUAGUAGGCAUUGGAAAGCUGGGGUAUUUUCCAAAUGAUGAGCCGUUAGGGAUGUUCUGCUACAGACCAGGGCCUUUUUCAUAUUUGGAGUAGUUUAUUUUUUGGCUGAGAUAGCUCUAGAGAGAGAGAUUUUAGGAUUUGAGGCCUACAUAGAAGCCACGUUGUCAAGGAGAGGGGUUCCAAGGUUGAUGUGUAACAAAGAAUUACUAUAGAAAGUGUCAGCACCUGAUUGGUUGAAAGGAGUACUUUUUGAAGAAUAAACCUCAAGGUUAAUGUUAAGGAUAGAGUCAUUAAUGGAUAAACUAGCCAAGUCAUUUGAUUAAAGUAUUUAGGCGUGGCCAGGUCCAAUUGGUUGAAAAAAGUAAGGUUAUCAGAGUACUUACCUGCAAGGACUUGACUGGGGACGCUAAAGCUUUUAUUGGCUGGAAUAUUGAUCAUCUCCCAUUGCUAGAGACUUCUCUGGCUUCGCCACUGACGUUUGGUCGCGUUUCCUACCGAACUUGAUCAAAUUCCAUCGUUCAUCGUCUGAGGUAGAUACCUUCAAAUUUGAGUGGGAUUUACUGAGAGUUGUGUGACAAGUUAGAAUAUAGGCACACUGAGCUAAAGUGCGUCCCAAAUGUCCGCACUUGUGCAUAAGAGAUUUUCUUCGUCAUAGUAGAUGUAUUGCUUAUGUGUGACAAUGUAUACAUUGUGUAGCAGGGGCUGCUCCAAUGGUACUUGCAUACACAAUCUAGUAUAAAGGUGCAGGUAUCGAUUUUAAGAAGGGUCCCUAUCUUGCUUCCAAUCUUGUAUAAGAUUUAUAAGUCAUAAAAUUCAGUAGGAAGUUCUAGUAAACAAAUUCAAAUGGCAGACUGCUAUUCGGGCUUGUGACACCACAAAUUUUGGUUUCUAUUUUUGCACAG